rfam:Thorarchaeota archaeon SMTZ1-45 WOR1_30_36_30, whole genome shotgun sequence.
GUAUCCGGAUUAGCAUUCGAGACUGUCACUCUCGAGACCCGGGUUCGAAUCCCGGCGGGGGCG